ACGAACGCUGGCGGCGUGCUUAACACAUGCAAGUCGAACGGUGACGAUCAAGCUUGCUUGGUCUGAUCAGUGGCGAACGGGUGAGUAACACGUGAGUAACCUGCCCCAGACUCUGGGAUAACCCCGGGAAACCGGAGCUAAUACCGGAUAUGACACCAGUCCGCAUGGGCAUGGUGUGGAAAGUUUUUCGGUCUGGGAUGGACUCGCGGCCUAUCAGCUUGUUGGUGAGGUAGUGGCUCACCAAGGCGACGACGGGUAGCCGGCCUGAGAGGGCGACCGGCCACACUGGGACUGAGACACGGCCCAGACUCCUACGGGAGGCAGCAGUGGGGAAUAUUGCACAAUGGGCGAAAGCCUGAUGCAGCGACGCCGCGUGAGGGAUGACGGCCUUCGGGUUGUAAACCUCUUUCAGCAGGGAAGAAGCGAAAGUGACGGUACCUGCAGAAGAAGCACCGGCUAACUACGU
rnacentral:rRNA from 1 species